rnacentral:rRNA from 1 species
CCUACGGGUGGCUGCAGUGGGGAAUCUUGCGCAAUGCGCGAAAGCGUGACGCAGCAACACCGCGUGAGGGAAGACGGCCUUCGGGUUGUAAACCUCUUUCAGGAGGGACGAAGGUAGGCCGGUUAACAGCCGCGUCGACUGACGGUACCUCCACAAGAAGCACCGGCUAACUACGUGCCAGCAGCCGCGGUAAUACGUAGGGUGCAAGCGUUGUCCGGAAUCAUUGGGCGUAAAGCGCGCGUAGGCGGCCCGAUAAGUCCGCUGUAAAAGUCAAC